rnacentral:pre_miRNA from 1 species
AACGGUAUUGCGGCUUUCAUAGGUAGCUUGCGUUUGUCUUAGCUGGUAUUGAAUGUGAUAGGUAUCAUAAGACACACGCGGCUAUUUUUGAGAGUAUCAAGCAUCUUG